UGGGGAAUAUUGCACAAUGGAGGGAACUCUGAUGCAGCGACGCCGCGUGAACGAAGAAGGCUUUCGAGUCGUAAAGUUCUUUUAUAUGGGAAGAUAAUGACGGUACCAUAAGAAAAAGCCCCGGCUAACUACGUGCCAGCAGCCGCGGUAAUACGUAGGGGGCUAGCGUUGUCCGGAAUCACUGGGCGUAAGGGUUCGCAGGCGGAAAUGCAAGUCAGGUGUAAAAGGCAGUAGCUUAACUACUGUAAGCAUUUGAAACUGCAUAUCUUGAGAAGAGUAGAGGUAAGUGGAAUUUUUAGUGUAGCGGUGAAAUGCGUAGAUAUUAAAAAGAAUACCGGUGGCGAAGGCGACUGACUGGGCUCAUUCUGACGCUGAGGAACGAAAGCGUGGGUAGCAAACAGG
rnacentral:rRNA from 1 species